UUAAUGAAUAAAUUUUUGUUUUUAAUAUUUAAACCCCGGAUACCAGGACAACCGAAGAGAUCGCCUGCAUUGCCGCUGUGGCGGCCACACGCUGUUUUGUCUCUCCUGCUCUUUGACCCCGCUCGGCCUGACAGCCACCUCUUGGCCCAUCCCUUGCGGCUGCAGUCGACUGUCGUCGACAUCUUUGCGCCACUUUGUCCUUUGCGCUGCGAACAAUUUAAAGCGAAAGUUACCAAACCCUUGCCCUUAUCCUUUCAACUUGCUCCUGCACACACGGCAACAAAAAUGCAGCGGCAAAUGCAAUUUAAUUGAAGCCAAUCCUGCACAUGUAAGAAAAGGUGGAAAUGGCUUAUAUGACAUCUGAAGAAGACGUGAAGU